rnacentral:tRNA from 1 species
GGAAGGUUAGCUCAGCUGGGAGAGCACCUGCCUUACAAGCAGGGGGUCACAGGUUCGAGCCCUGUACUUUCCA